UACGGAGGGGGCUAGCGUUGUUCGGAUUUACUGGGCGUAAAGCGCACGUAGGCGGACUGUUAAGUCGGGGGUGAAAUCCUGAGGCUCAACCUCAGAAUUGCCUCCGAUACUGGCGGUCUCGAGUGCGGGAGAGGUGAGUGGAAUUCCCAGUGUAGAGGUGAAAUUCGUAGAUAUUGGGAAGAACACCAGUGGCGAAGGCGGCUCACUGGCCCGCAACUGACGCUGAGGUGCGAAAGCGUGGGGAGCAAACAGG
rnacentral:rRNA from 1 species